ensembl:lncRNA
CGUCUGACAACAACAGUCAGGGAAAGGCCCAGAGGAUCCACCACACGCUGCGAGGGAGGCCAAGUUCUUAAUGUUACCCAGCUGUGCAGCGGGGUUGGCCGGGGACCUGGCCUGGGCAACCAGAGGCUGGACCGUGAUUCAGAUGGGCUGGACGGCAGCGGGUGAGUCAGGGCCUCCGGCGCUGAACAGGACGCCUGACCACCGGCUCCCUGCGGGCAACGAGCGAGCUCCCUGGAUGCCCGGCCCGUAGCGGGUGCCCGGAUGUGCUGGGCAGCUGUUGGCCUGCCAUGCUCUCCGUGCCUUUUAUGUUGAAGCCCCUUGAGUUGACACCGGCCGUUUCCAACCCUCUGAGAGUUUCCCUCCCGGGUGUUCUCCACGUGUCCUCUCUGGACAGUCCUGAGUGGCAGUUGGCAGGCACGAUUCUGUCCAGGAGCUCAACGUUGCUUCCAGUGAAGCAAAUCCAGGCGAAGCUGCUCAGGAAGUUGGAUCCUCAAGGACGUUCAUCUCCCAAGAACCCUAGGACACCAGGGCCUGGCGAACAAGGCCAUCCUCUUCAGCAAGAUGGGCUCCUGGGCCCUCCAAGGUAGCUGGAUAAAGGGAGCAUAUCCAAGCCCCCCGACCAGGGCCUUCCUUCUGUUCCACUAGUUUUCUGGCCCCCAGGAUGUUUUACACAUCAUUUAAACUGUGGCCCAAGUCUGCCCCCUUUGCCUGGGUUCCCCUAAGCACAGAGAGCAGGCAGAGAUGCACCAGGAGAAAUAGGAGGGACAUAACCGCAGUCCAGACACUAGACCCGAGACAGCCUCUGCCCAGCCCCAAAGAGCCACUCUGCAGAUCCAGCUCCAGACGCGGAUCUCACACGGCCCUGCCUUCUGUCCCUCGGGGGUCCCCAGCCUGGUGGGCUCAGAGGCCCAGGGAAGUACAUGGGGGCAGGGACAGCAAGAGCCCAGAACACCUGAGAAUGAGAAGCUGACACUUAGGGUAGCAGGGGUUUGCUCAAUGGGCGACCCUGACAGAAAGGAUGGCAGCGAGCAGCAACCAGAGACACCCCAGUGUGUCCACCAGCUCCCCUUCCGCCCUCUCCUGUCACAGCCGCAGUCUCCCUGCUCACCGGGGUGGGCUUGGGGUCUCCCUCCUCCCUAGUGCCUGACCUCCUGGACCAAAGUGACAUGUCCAACGGGGAGUUCUUGACCCCUUGGAGCAAAGCCCGGCCCUUCCCCAGGGUUUAUCAGACAGGAGUGGGAGACCGAAGAGCCUGGCCUCUCCAUCGCAGAGCUCCAGGGCGUGUCUCCCCCAGUGGCUGCAGCAGAAGAAAAUAGAGCCACGGGGUGUGUAGAGAAAGAGACACACAAAGUUAAGAGAGAGACCUAGUGUUUCAGUGUGGCUGUCCUUUCGACUGUCUCCACUCUGCUCUUCCCGUAUUUGAGGCCUGGAGCCAACGAUGUCCCCCCCGGACUUAAUUCAGCUGAGAAAGUCUGGUUUCUGGCACCUGCAACUGAAGAUGCAGUUUCAUACACCACAGCCAGCCGGGAUCCGGUCCUUGAAGGAUGCGACCCUGUUGGCCUCCCCCAGGCACCCCAGACCCGGUGCUGACCCCUAGCACAGCACAGUCCUCACAUGUGUGAACUGGUGUGGGACAGACGUGCAGCCAAUUUGGUGAAAUCUGGAAGCUGAAAUUGGCCACCCCUCCUCACAUCAGGUGGACCCAG